rnacentral:pre_miRNA from 1 species
UGUGUACUCCCUAUGUUCCAAAAUACUUGACUUCCAUUUGUCCAAAAAUGGAUGUACCUAUAUACUAAGACAUGUCUAGAUACAUAUAUAUUUUGACAAAUAGAAGGCAUGUAUUGUGCAACGGAGGGAGUAGAAU